rnacentral:lncRNA from 1 species
UGAAGAUUUAUGAUAAGUAAACUGAUGGCUGAAAUAAAUCUGACACUGGCCCUUUGGAGAUUUGGUAUUUUUAACAAGGAAGGUGAGUUCUCCUCCAUUUCUGAUUUCUGUUAUGAAAUCUCCUUAUUUGACAGAUACACAGCACUCCUCCAUUUUGAAAACAGGAACAGAAAUACUUGAAUGCAUGAAACUGCUCUUUGCAUCUGAUCAGUGCUAAGUGGGAUGUUAAAUUUAUGCCAAACAAAUUAUUCACGCUGUAAGGCAAGAACCAAUGAGAGACCAACCAAGCAAGUUCCAACAAUGCCUGCAACAAUUCCCGGGGCCUCUCCUUUGGAGAAAAUUGGACCCAAGAGAACAAUGCCUUUCUUUAUGAGAAUGACUGCAACACAACCAAAAUUAUUCACAAGAAAUUUCAUUUUAUCAUUUAAUCUAUUCCAAUUCUGGUACUUCUGCUGGAUGCAGGGAUAAAUUUCUGAGCAAAUAGCAUCUGAUAAUGACUAGCUUUUUAUGAACUACAGAGCCAAAUGAAAAAACAAAAAGAAAGUGACCAUAUUUUCUCUUAUGUAGAGCCAUGUUUAUUUUGUCCUAUUUUGUAUUUCUCUGAUCUCAAAUUUUGGAUGUAUAUAACACUCCAUACAAAGGAAUAUUUCCAUGUUUAGGUAACUAAUGAAUUCUGUAGAUGGAUGUGUGUGUGUGUGUGUGUGUGCAUGUGUGCCAACCUUAGAAAUAUGAAAUAUCUUGAGACCCAGGUAUGGCCAAGUAUAGGCUGUGAUAUGAAGUUUGAAGAAUAAAUUUCAAAGUUGUCACA